GAGAAGAAACGGCGGAGACCUGAGACCCGGAGGCUGAGGCUGUAGGUGGGCUCCGCUGGGUAAAAGUUGCCGCAGCAGCUGUCCCUUGGCCCCAUCGCGAUUUAUUUUUCCCCCUUGCUUUCCGGGUCCCGGGAUCCCAAGUUUGUAACUAACGGGAGCGAAUCCACACCCGAGCAAAAUGUUUGCGAGUUUCAGGCGCCCUUAGUUGAAAGGCUGUAAUUAACAAGUCCGCUGUUUGCCAGCCAGGCGCCGUUGCAGGCGCUUUCUGUGGAUUGUCAUUUAUUUCUCACAGCAACCCUAGGAGGCCUGGAAGUCCAUGGACAGCCACCCAACGAGGGCAGUGUAAAUCCAGCCCUGAGCCACUGCAGGAAGUGAACCGGGGAUUGCACUCCUGGUCACAUAAGAGUACUUUUUUUUUUUUUUUUUUUUUGAGACGGAGUCUCGCUCAGUCGCCGAGGCUGGACUGCAGUGGCGCGAUCUCGGCUCACGGCAAGCUCCGCCUCCCGGGUUCACGCCAUUCUCCUGCCUCAGCCUCCCGAGUAGCUGGGACUACAGGCGCCCGCCACUGCGCCCGGCUAAUUUUUUGUAUUUUCAGUAGAGACGGGGUUCCCCGUGUUAGCCAGGAUAGUCUCGAUCUCCUGACCUCGUGAUACGCCCGUCUCGGCCUCCCUCCCAAAGUGCUGGGAUUACAGGCGUGAGCCACAGCGCCCGGCCAAGAGUACUUUUUAUUCAUUUGACAUAAAGAUAUUGGCACAGGG
rnacentral:lncRNA from 10 species